rnacentral:lncRNA from 1 species
AAAAAUUCAAUCUCUUUGACGACCAUAUAAACAUCAAAUUAAAUUCAGAAUCAAAAUUUACAGUCACCGUUCAAAAUUCGCAGUGAUUCCAUCUCGAAGAAAAUCUACAAGAAUACCAAAAAUACCUACAUAACAUAUCCAAAAUGAGUUGCUGCUCACCUUGUUGUUCACCCUGCUGCUCCCCGUGCUGUGUACCUUGUUAUCCCUGUUGCGUUCCCUGCGUAUACUAUCCGUGUUGUUUCCCCUGCUGCAGUCCGUGUUGUUCUCCCAAAGGGUGCUGCUAGAAGAUUCCUGCAAUCGUAAUCCAACCAAGAUCAACAAAAUGAAAACCUUCAAAGGAAAAACAAGCCGCAGCAUGGCCUUUAUGAUGAUGAACUGAUACAUGACCAACUGUAAUAAAGAAUUGCUUUUCAAUUAUAGUAAACAAUUUAAUAAAAUUUUAAUUUUGUUAAAUAUU